GAUGAAGAACGCAGCGAAAUGCGAUACGUAAUGUGAAUCGCAAAUUCAGUGAAUCAUCGAGUCUUUGAACGCACAUUGCGCCCCCUGGUAUUCCGGGGGGCAUGCCUGUCCGAGCGUCAUUGCUGCCCUCAAGCACGGCUUGUGUGUUGGGCCCCGUCCUCCGAUCCCGGGGGACGGGCCCGAAAGGCAGCGACGGCACCGCGUCCGGUCCUCGAGCGUAUGGGGCUUUGUCACCCGCUCUGUAGGCCCGGCCGGCGCUUGCCGAUCAACCCAAAUUUUUUAUCCAGGUUGACCUCGGAUCAGGUAGGGAUACCCGCUGAACUUAAGCAUAUCAAUAAGCGGAGGA
rnacentral:misc_RNA from 1 species